GAUGAACGCUGGCGGCGUGCCUAAUACAUGCAAGUCGAGCGAACGGACGAGAAGCUUGCUUCUCUGAUGUUAGCGGCGGACGGGUGAGUAACACGUGGAUAACCUACCUAUAAGACUGGGAUAACUUCGGGAAACCGGAGCUAAUACCGGAUGAUAUUUUGAACCGCAUGGUUCAAAAGUGAAAGACGGUCUUGCUGUCACUUAUAGAUGGAUCCGCGCUGCAUUAGCUAGUUGGUAAGGUAACGGCUUACCAAGGCAACGAUGCAUAGCCGACCUGCGAGGGUGAUCGGCCACACUGGAACUGAGACACGGUCCAGACUCCGACGGGAGGCAGCAGUAGGGAAUCUUCCGCAAUGGGCGAAAGCCGGACGGAGCAACGCCGCGUGAGUGAUGAAGGUCUUCGGAUCGUAAAACUCUGUUAUUAGGGAAGAACAUAUGUGGAAGUAACUGUGCACAUCUUGACGGUACCUGAUCAGAAAGCCACGGCUAACUACGUG
rnacentral:rRNA from 1 species